AUUGAACGCUGGCGGCAGGCCUAACACAUGCAAGUCGAACGAGUGGCGGACGGGUGAGUAAUGCAUGGGAAACUGCCGGAUGGAGGGGGAUAACUAAUGGAAACGGUAGCUAAUACCGCAUACCAUCAGAUGUGCCCAGAUGGGCUUAGAUAGUUGGUGGGGUAACGGCUCACCAAGGCGAAGAUCCCUAGCUGGUCUGAGAGGAUGAGCGGCCACACUGGAACUGAGACACGGUCCAGACUCCUACGGGAGGCAGCAGUGGGGAAUAUUGCACAAUGGGCGCAAGCCUGAUGCAGCCAUGCCGCGUGUAUGAAGAAGGCCCUCGGGUUGUAAAGUACUUUCAGCGGGGAGGCGUUACCCGCAGAAGAAGCACCGGCUAACUCCGUGCCAGCCGCCGCGGUAAUAC
rnacentral:rRNA from 1 species